rnacentral:rRNA from 1 species
CUAACCGUAAACGAUGACAACCAGCGAUUAGUCGGCGUUAAUAUACGACCCGACUAGCAGCUUCCGGGAAACCAAAGUUUUUCGUUUCCGGGGGAAGUAUGGUUGCAAAGCUGAAACUUAAAGGAAUUGACGGAAGGGCACCACCAGGAGUGGAGCCUGCGGCUUAAUUUGACUCAACACGGGAAAACUCACCCGGCCCGGACACCGUAAGGAUUGACAGACUGAGAGCUCUUUCUUAAUUCGGUGGGUGGUGGUGCAUGGCCGUUCUUAGUUGGUGGAGCGAUUUGUCUGGUUAAUUCCGAUAACGAACGAGACUCUGGCCUAUUAAAUAGACGAUGUAUCGAAAAGUAUAUCGCGCUUCUUAGAGGGACAAGCGGCGUCUAGCCGCAUGAAAUAGAGCAAUAACAGGUCUGUGAUGCCCUUAGAUGUCCGGGGCUGCACGCGCGCUACACUGAAAGAAUCAGAGGGCGCCAAUGCCUAGUCCGGAAGGAUUGGGUAACCCAAGUAAAUUCUUUCGUGCUUGGGAUAGGGAAUUGCAAUUAUUUCCCUUAAACGAGGAAUUCCCAGUAAAUGCGGGUCAUAAGCUCGCGUUG